rnacentral:rRNA from 1 species
AGAAUCAACGCUGGCGGCGUGCCUCAGACAUGCAAGUCGAACGCGAAAGCCCCCUUCGGGGGGCAAGUAGAGUGGCGCACGGGUGAGUAACACGUAGGUAAUCUACCUUCGGAUGGGGAAUAACAACCGGAAACGGUUGCUAAUACCGCAUAAUGCAGCGGCACCUAAUGGUGACAGUUGUUAAAGCGGGGGAUCGAAAGCCUCGCGUCUGAAGAGGAGCCUGCGGCGGAUUAGCUAGUUGGUAAGUAAUGGCUUACCAAGGCGACGAUCC